rnacentral:rRNA from 1 species
AACGAACGCUGGCGGCACGCUUCAUACAUGCAAGUCGCGCGAUUAAGGCCCGCAAGGGCGCAUAAAGCGGCGAACGGGUGAGUAACACGUGGAUAAUCUGCCUUUCGGUGGGGGAGUAACGGCUGGAAACGGCCGCUAAUACCGCAUGUGGUUGCGAGGUCUUCGGGCCUUGCAAAGAAAGGGGACCCGUUAAAACGACCCUCGCCGGAAGAUGAGUCCGCGCCCCACUUAG